rnacentral:rRNA from 1 species
UGGGGAAUAUUGCACAAUGGGCGCAAGCCUGAUGCAGCCAUGCCGCGUGUGUGAAGAAGGCCUUCGGGUUGUAAAGCACUUUCAGCGAGGAGGAAGGUGGUGAGCUUAAUACGCUCAUCAAUUGACGUUACUCGCAGAAGAGGCACCGGCUAACUCCGUGCCAGCAGCCGCGGUAAUACGGAGGGUGCAAGCGUUAAUCGGAAUUACUGGGCGUAAAGCGCACGCAGGCGGUUUGUUAAGUCAGAUGUGAAAUCCCCGGGCUCAACCUGGGAACUGCAUUUGAAACUGGCAAGCUAGAGUCCCGUAGAGGGGGGUAGAAUUCCAGGUGUAGGCGGUGAAAUGCGUAGAGAUCUGGAGGAAUACCGGUGGC